UGGCGUGUUUUGUAACACACCUUAAGGUGUGUUUAACACACCUUAAGGUGUGUUAAACACACCUUAAGGUGUGUUCUAAAACCCA
rnacentral:miRNA from 1 species